CAGUACCGCGGGAAUACGAAGGGUGCAAGCGUUACUCGGAAUUACUGGGCGUAAAGCGUGCGUAGGUGGUGGUUUAAGUCCGUUGUGAAAGCCCUGGGCUCAACCUGGGAAUUGCAGUGGAUACUGGGUCACUAGAGUGUGGUAGAGGAUAGUGGAAUUUCCGGUGUAGCAGUGAAAUGCGUAGAGAUCGGAAGGAACAUCUGUGGCGAAGGCGACUAUCUGGGCCAACACUGACACUGAGGCACGAAAGCGUGGGGAGCAAACAGGAUUAGAUACCCCCGUAGUCCCUGUCUCUUAUACC
rnacentral:rRNA from 1 species